GAAGAUUCUGAUGAUUCUGAAGAGUCUGAUGAUUCUGAGGACUCUCAAGAUUCUGAGGACUCUGAUGAUUCUGAAGAGUCUGAUGAUUCUGAGGACUCUCAAGAUUCUGAGGAGUCUGAAGAUUCUGAAGAUUCUGAUGAUUCUGAAGAGUCUGAUGAUUCUGAGGACUCUCAAGAUUCUGAGGAGUCUGAAGAUUCUGAUGAUUCUGAGGACUCUGAGGAUUCUGAAGUUUCUGAGGAUUCUGAAGAGUCCGAACCGGAGGAGCCAGCAUUUUGCCAACCUCCUCACAAGAAACUACGAAGAACCUGAGCUUCAUUCAGGGGUCACACCCUCAUCAUCGCCAUGGAGUUCUGUGGUGGAGGGUCCCUUUUUGACCUCUACAAAGGUAACCCUGCAGCGCUGUUGAAGUCACUCACGCCGAUGUUCCCACCGACAUCAUGAACCAGCCCCGGAUUCAUAUAGAUGAGAAUUCUGAAGAUUCUGAGUGGUCUGAACCAGAGGAGUCAGCAUUUUCCCAACCUUCUCAGAGGAAUCUACGGAGAAUAAGGAAUGGAAAUAUGGAAUCAGUAUUGUAAAAUAUGAAUUCGUUAUGAAUUAUGAAUAUAAUUUACUGUUAUUAAUGCGAAGCGUGUAGUUUCUUUGUUUUUCAUGUCUGACGGUCAUCCUGGAGGACCAGGAGGAGGAGAUGCAGAUUGGAACUGAGAACCACUCACCAGAGCAACAUGGGGUGGCAUUUGGCUUGCUGACUAAAACUAAAAGGUAAAUAAUAGAAAUACAAUCUAGUUUCUUGUGGUCUAGGUCAUUUUGUGACUUUGUAGAGUUUGUUCAUUGACAGUGAAGAAGAGAACAUCCAAAAUCUGAUCUCAGCAGGACUUCGUACGGCCAUAAUUUUUUUCUUUGUUGUCCUUUCCCCCACAAGCAAACCAACCAACCAACCAACCAACCACUCAACCCUGCAGACCAGAAGGAGGAGGAGAUGCAGAUUGGAACUGAGAACCACUCACCAGAGCAACAUGGGGUGGCAUUUGGCCUGCUGACUAAAACUAACAGGUAAAUAAUAGAAAUACAAUCUAGUUUCUUGUGGUCUAGGUCAUUUUGUGACUUUUUAAAUUUUGUUCAUUGAAUGUGAAGAAGAGCAAACCAACCAACCACUCAACCCUGCAGACCAGAAGGAGGAGGAGAUGCAGAUUGGGACUGAGAACCACUCACCAGAACAACAUGACUAAAACGAACAGGUACACAUCCUGUCAUUCUGAAAAUUCUUUUAGCUCCUUCACAGAAGGACAGAUUUUUUUGUGAGUGCUGGGUU
rnacentral:lncRNA from 1 species